rnacentral:misc_RNA from 1 species
GAAAUGCGAUAAGUAAUGUGAAUUGCAGAAUUCAGUGAAUCAUCGAAUCUUUGAACGCACAUUGCGCCCGCCAGUAUUCUGGCGGGCAUGCCUGUCCGAGCGUCAUUUCAACCAUCAAGCCCCCGGGCUUGUGUUGGGGACCUGCGGCUGCCCGCAGGCCCUGAAAACCAGUGGCGGGCUCGCUGUCGCACCGAGCGUAGUAGCAAUCACCUCGCUCAGGGCGUGCUGCGGGUUCCGGCCGUUAAACAGCCUUACAAAACCCAAGGUUGACCUCGGAUCAGGUAGGAAGACCCGCUGAACUUAAGC